rnacentral:RNase_P_RNA from 1 species
CGUGCAAGUCGUCUUGUCGCCGCGAUGUAUAUCGGGGAGGAAAGUCCGGGCAACAUAGAGCGCCAUACUUCCUAACGGGAAGGGGGCUGACUGGUGACGGUCAGUUUACAGAUAGUGCCACAGAAAAUAUACCGCCCAGUGAUGGGUAAGGGUGAAAUGGUGGAGUAAGAGCCCACCGUCCCGGUGGUGACAUCGGGAGCAAGGCAAACCUUAUGGGUUGAAAGAUCAAAUAGGUCCCGCAUUGGAUUAAGUUCCAAGAAGAGUUGCUCGUUCUUACGCGGGAUGGGUAGAUCGAUGGAUCCUGAUUGCAAAGUCAGGGCUAGAUAAAUGACAAGAUUCUUAUUUGGAUUUAUCCAUUAGGAAACAGAACCCGGCUUACAGACUUGCACUUUUU